rnacentral:rRNA from 1 species
UUCGGAUCGAAGUCUGCAACCCGACUUCGUGAAGCUGGAUUCGCUAGUAAUCGCGCAUCAGCCAUGGCGCGGUGAAUACGUUCCCGGGCCUUGUACACACCGCCCGUCAAGCCAUGAAAGCCGGGGGUACCUGAAGUACGUAACCGCAAGGAUCGUCCUAGGGUAAAACUGGUAAUUGGGGCUAAGUCGUAACAAGGUAGC